rnacentral:rRNA from 1 species
CCCAGACUCCUACGGGAGGCAGCAGUGGGGAAUAUUGCACAAUGGGGGAAACCCUGAUGCAGCGACGCCGCGUGAGUGAUGAAGUAUUUCGGUAUGUAAAGCUCUAUCAGCAGGGAAGAUAAUGACGGUACCUGACUAAGAAGCUCCGGCUAAAUACGUGCCAGCAGCCGCGGUAAUACGUAUGGAGCAAGCGUUAUCCGGAUUUACUGGGUGUAAAGGGAGCGCAGACGGCAGGGCAAGUCUGGAGUGAAAUCCCGGGGCUUAACCCCGGAACUGCUUUGGAAACUGUGCGGCUGGAGUGCAGGAGGGGUAAGCGGAAUUCCUAGUGUAGCGGUGAAAUGCGUAGAUAUUAGGAGGAACACCGGUGGCGAAGGCGGCUUACUGGACUGUAACUGACGUUGAGGCUCGAAAGCGUGGGGAGCAAACAGGAUUAGAUACCCGCGUAU